rnacentral:rRNA from 1 species
GACGAACGCUGCGGCGUGCUUAACACAUGCAAGUCGAGCGAUGAAACUACUUCGGUAGUGAAUUAGCGGCGAACGGGUGAGGAACACGUGAGUAACCUGCCCUUGUCUCUGGGAUAACUGCGGGAAACUGUAGCUAAUACCGGAUACGACCCUCGGCGGCAUCGCCAGGGGGUGGAAAGAAUUUCGGUCAAGGAUGGACUCGCGGCCUAUCAGCUAGUUGGUGAGGUAACGGCUCACCAAGGCGACGACGGGUAGCCGGCCUGAGAGGGUGACCGGCCACACUGGGACUGAGACACGGCCCAGACUCCUACGGGAGGCAGCAGUGGGGAAUAUUGCACAAUGGGCGCAAGCCUGAUGCAGCAACGCCGCGUGAGGGAUGACGGCCUUCGGGUUGUAAACCUCUUUUAGUAGGGAAGAAGCGAAAGUGACGG